GGGGGUGACUGGCUUCGACAGGUGCUGGUCGGUCCCGGGAGAGCGAGCCGAGUACGUCCGGUCACCUCGCAAAACUGUCCGGGCAACCUUAUAGGUGCCAACGACGAAAUGGCCCUGGCGGCCUAACUAGGUCGCCCGUCCGCCUUCACUCGCCUGGGGUGGAGGGUCGGGCGUCGCUACCAGGCUCCACCUGCCGGCCGUCGUCACGGGCCGGCAGGGACACCUUUACGUGACGUACGGCUGCCGAGGCGCUUGGUUUCGGAGUGCGGCAGCCCGACAAUCACCCGAGACCUACGCUCGUAGCGCUUCCGGAGCUGAGGCACUUGGACCGGGGUUCGAUUCCCCGCACCUCCACCA
rnacentral:tmRNA from 1 species